GGUAUUUCCCCACCAGCAGCUAACGCCGGGGAGUGGGGGCGGCUGCCGGCAGCGUGCUAUUCGCACGCACCUCGGGGCCGCCUCCGCGCCCCAGGAGCUCGGCUCCGGCAGUGGGCGGCUCCUUCUCCCUCGGGAGCGUCAGCCUCGCAGCGGGCUGCAGCGCAGGCUUCACAAAGUUGACACAUUUUCCAGGCGGCUGCUUUGCGCUGGCCGAGAGAGUAAGAGAGAAAUCGCUUUGGGAACAUGGAGUUGCUGUGCUGCGAGGUGGAUCCUAUGAGGAGAGCUUUGCCGGACCCGAACUUGCUCUACGACGACCGUGUUUUGCACAACUUACUGACGAUAGAGGAGCGGUAUCUGCCCCAGUGCUCCUACUUCAAGUGCGUGCAGAAGGACAUCCAGCCCUUCAUGAGGAGGAUGGUGGCCACUUGGAUGUUGGAGGUCUGUGAAGAACAGAAGUGUGAAGAAGAAGUUUUCCCUCUGGCUAUGAAUUACUUGGACAGAUUCUUAGCUGUGGUGCCCACUCGAAAGUGCCAUCUGCAACUACUGGGGGCAGUGUGCAUGUUCCUGGCCUCCAAACUAAAAGAGACAAUCCCCCUCACAGCAGAGAAGCUUUGCAUAUACACGGACAAUUCCAUCAAACCCCAAGAGCUGCUGGAAUGGGAGCUCGUGGUAUUGGGGAAGUUGAAGUGGAACCUUGCAGCAGUCACCCCACAUGAUUUCAUUGAGCACAUCCUACGGAAGCUGCCUCUACCUAAAGACAAGUUGGUUUUGAUCCGGAAACAUGCACAAACGUUCAUUGCCCUUUGUGCCACAGAUUUUAACUUUGCCAUGUACCCUCCAUCAAUGAUAGCAACUGGAAGUGUGGGAGCAGCCAUCUGUGGCCUUCAGCUUGAUGAUGGGGACAGAUCACUCUCUGGUGACAGCCUAACAGACUUUCUGGCCAAGAUUACAAGCACAGAUGUGGCAUGGAGGAACAGUGGUGGUACAUUGCAAUAAACAGCAGAAGCACGCAAGAAGAAUCCUAUAUAACAGUUCAGACUUCAUGGCCCGAUGCAACUAUGAAGUUGCUCAUCACAGAACACAGAAAAGCGUUUAUAUUCCUUCAGCUGCUUUUCAGCUGUUCUAGUAAAACCAUCCCGGAAUGAAGAACUCUCCCAAAACAUCAUCAAAAGAAAAAAAGAAGAAACAAUGAAAUUAAUUGGCUUUUCAGUUGUGCAUAUGCUAAAGUAAAAAUAAAAUUGUGGCGUGGAAAGUACCUGAACUAUUUUCAUCAUUAAAUCUACUGGACCAUAAAGAAGAAUGAGGAAGUUGAUCCAUGUGACACACUUAAAAAACAAAAGCAACCGCAUGAUACUCUGAAGGAGUGGCCUAUUCCCUGUAUUGUAAAAUCUAAAGCCCUUACUUCAGUACAUUUUACUGCUUUUUCAAAGAACAUCUGUUGAAAAUACUGCAAUUCAUAUAUCUUUUUUUAUUUUAUAUGAUGUUGAAAGUUUUAAUUUUCUCUUGUCAGUACUGUCUAGAGCUUGUGAAAUGAAAGUUUACUAGUAAAAUAUGUAUAUGUUCAGCAAAUUCACGGAUGAAACUUCUAGGAGUUAAUACUACUGUCUCAUGGGAAGAGCAGAUUUGUUGGCCCUGAUAGCUUCUACCUUUUUUAUUUGUAUUGUAUCACUUUGUAUUGACGGUUCCAGUGAGACAAACAAAUGUGGUAGCCCUAUCUAUAAAAUAAACCAGUUCCUGUAAUCACAUUAUGGUCAUUGGGCUGAUUAGAUAGAAAAAAUUCAUUAUUUUUCCUAUUGCACGUAAUGUUACCAUCCAGCUGGUAUAUUUCAUAAUUCCUAAAGUUAGUUGCAGAUUGUGGCUGUGGUUCAAAAGCACUGCAAAGGUGGUUUUAGGAAUUAUUGUAUAAGAAUUCUAGCAUUUUUAUCAUGUGUCCUAUUGUCUAGGUCUGAACUUUGUCUGCCAACUUCCAUUUUAUUAGAAAAGCCACUGACAAGUUUAGUUAGUAUCUCAUCUGGUACAAAAUAUGUUGCUUGUAUGGUAUCCACACCAUUCUAUGUUUUGCCAUGUUUCGUCUAUUGUCUUGCGUAUAGCAUGGUCAGUAAAAAGCUGUCAUGCAAUCUGAAUACCUUGGCAGAACUAGCAGUAUUGGCCUCUGUGUGAUCCUCACAAAAUCAGCUUAGUACGUUGAUGGAGUGGUUACACAGAGGUAGGAUUAAUGAUUGUGCAACCUCAGGUGGACAGCUUGAUUGUAUCACAGUCAUCAGAGCUGAAGAGUCUAGACUAAAUCUACUGGUGAGUUCCAGCUCAUUUUGCUGUGUGACUGAAGUUCACUUGAGAAUCGGACAUUGGAGUUUUUAUUGUUGUUUUUUUUUUUCUUUGUAGAUUUUGAUUGUAGGACUUGAAAACUUGUAAAACGAAGUGUCACCAUUUUUAUUUAAAGCUGGCCAGCCAAUUUCAGCUCCUGAAUGGAUGCUUUACAGGCAAAACUACAAAGAAUGUUUAACUCAUGUUAAAAACUGAGUUUUAGUAUGCAAAUAGCAACUGUUGUUUGUUGGGUUUUUUUUGAAACUUUUUCACCCUGAAUGCACCAUGGUUGUAAUUUUGCCAUAGUUCUUUUUGUUUUAAGGACUUAAGUAAUGCACUGUUUUCACAUUCAAAAUGUAGGUGUAAAUCAGAGCUAACAUAUGACAGUAAAUGUAUCAGUGGCUUUGUGGAUAUCUGUAUGAGGUAAAAUCCGUGCAAACUGUGGCAAUCCCAGUCUGGACAACUUUAUUGCUUUUAUGUACAGGAUGAUCCAUUUCUGUAUAAAAGUACUAAGAGACUUCAUAGAAUCACAGAAUCAUGAAGGUUGGAAAAGACCCACAGGAUCACCCAGUCCAACAAUUCACCCAUCACCAAUGGUUCUCAUUAAACUAUGUCCCUCAACACAACGUCCAAACAUUCCUUGAACACCUCCAGGGUCAGUGACUCCACUACCUCUCUGGGCAGCCCAUUCCAGUGCCUGACCACCCUUUCAGAGAAGUAGUAUUUCCUAAUGUUCAGCCUCUUCAUAAAUUAAAUAAAGUGCUAAAUAAGGACUUUUUACAAGGUUUUAUAAUUUUGGUGUAAAUGAUAACGUGUAAGAAUAUUUAGAAACAGAGAAUUGGCUCCAAGUGCUCAUGCCUUUUGUUCCAUAUGUCACCAUCCUUUCUUCUCUAAGCCUGGCUGUAAGGAACUUGCCUCAUUAAGUUCAGCAGUCUGUAGCUGCUUGUAAAAAAAAAAAAUAAAAUAAAAUAAAAUUCAGAAGGACAUGUUAUUUUGAAAUUAUACAUCGCUGCUUUAGAAGAGAUUCUUAUACAAAAAGAACAUUAGGAGUAUAGUCUCUUGUAGGAAUCUACAAAUGGGUGGCUCUGCUGUUUCUUCUUUUUAUGGAUCUGAUCCUGCUCAGUUUGGCCAUUGACUUAAAUGCAGACAGGUUUGAGAUCUGCUCCAGGGAGACUUGCUGUAGCGGAGCUGGCAGCCUGUAGGCUGUGACUCUCUGACUCACCGUGGGGCUCCCUCAGCACCAACUAGGAUUGAGUUCAUUUCUAGGAUUGAGUGCCAUUUCUAUCACUGAAUCUCUGCUUUCAGAGAAAGAUAACUCCUAAGCCAGGGUGACCCUGCUAUCAAGUGGAGCUGCAUGAAAUGACAUCUGACUUGUCACAGUCAAAGGUACCUUUGGCAAGCAUGUUGAGCAAAGAAACAGUACAGGUAGGGUUGCUUCACUGAGCAGAGCAGCUCUCAAAACUUUGAUUAGGUCUCAGACAUUUUCUUAGAAUCUGUUCAGGAAAUGUCAGCUCCUGUUGCUAUAAGCAAGAAGCAUUUUUGAGCAAGUAACUGUUUCAGCCACACAGUCUAUUUGUCAGUGUAGCUUCUUCAGCUCCAUACUCUUGAAAAAUGAUUUGCAGUGUCACAAACAGGUAAACGCUUACAAUGGACUUGAAACCCACGCAAGUAGCAGGGGAUUUUCUUUAUCUGAGUUUCCAAUAGCUUUUGGCAGUAAAGUACUUUGAAAAAAGGCCAAGGAAUAUGUUCAGUUCCCAUCAUUAAAAAAAUGAUUACAAAGCUAGGAAGUCACUAAGCUCCCAAUAGGCAAGAGCAAGACCCAGCUAUGAAAAGCAUUUACCUGAUUCAAUAAAAGUACAUGCUAUUACCUUAAAAAAGCUUGAUAGGCAUCCUUCUCUUUUUGCUUUCUUGUAGCUGCUGGCAAAUCUUUUUCCUUACCUUCAGUUAGUUAAAGUGAGAGGAAGUGAGACAUGCUAAAAUCUUGCUUGUCUGUCUUGUAGCUCAUCACGAAAUUCACCGUGCUAGCAUUUUGUUGCAUCUUCAAAGACAUUCAUCUUGUCCUCACCCUUCUGAGACUUCCUGCUUGCUCUGAGGAAACUUCCCUUAAAGCUUCCCUUCUCUCCAAGGGUAGUCCAGAAGACUGUGGUUCUCUGCCUUCUCUGAGAGCCACACACAGAUGUGAGCACGAGCAGAAACAGGCAGCCCAAUCCUCUGUCCAUUAGGCAAGCUCUGGAAUGUUGGAUGUUAGGCAUCCCUUCCUCAAUCAAAUCCCAUUUUUAUCUAAUUAUGCAAAUUCAUAAAGUGUGUGUUUGGUAACUGUUUUUUUUUAACCUCAUGCUGACAUGGUUGCCAUGUGAGGAGUUUUGCAACAUGGAAUGCUGGUGAGGAGCAGAGGCAACGUGCAGCGGAAACUCAUGUGGGCAUGCAGCCCAGGGCUGGCGCUGGGACAGGCUGGUAUCCUGGCUCCAGAGCAAGGGAGGCAGUGAUCAGGCAACUGCCAGUGUAGUGAAGGGCAGACACACUGAGAUCAGCAUUUUUGAACAUUACUGGGUACUGCUUUUUUAAUGAGUUAUCCUUUUCUUAACAUACUGAGAAUCCCCACAUCUCUGAAUUAAUUUGGCGUUUUGGGUACUCUAUGGUUCUCAGCUCCACAGUUAUCCACUGGGUGACAGUGGCACUGGCUGUGGCAAUGCAGUUAUUGUGCUUGUGCAAUAUCUCUAAUCUUCCAAGAGCAUCAUAUCUGAGCACUGGGAUGAGGUAAGGGUGUGACAUAAAUCAGGGCAUGACCCAGAGACAAAUACAAAGAGGGUGAUCUCUGGAACACAGCUGAUGCAGGAGUCCUUCCAGAUCUUAGAUGAGGACUGGCACAAGUAAGAGCAACUGCUGUGCUCUGUGAGAUGAGCCUACAGCCACAUGUGAAUUCAGUGUUCAUUGCUCACCAGAUGAUCUUAAACAAAAUUCUCUUUGUCCCAACUUCCCAGCUUUGGCGUCACAAUACAUUUGUAUUCUGAUUCUUUGUCAGUGAUGUGGUAGAGUUUUACAAUAAUCUGGAUUCCAGAGGGUGGAAAUACAGGUGCUUGUAGGGAAUUCAUUCCAUCCCUGUGGUUUAGCUGCAAAUCACUCUCUUGAGAGUAGAAGAGUCACAACUUUUGCCUUCCUCCAAAGCACAGUUCUUUUCAGUCUUAAGGUCUCUAAAUGAAGUUCACCAAACUUGCUAAUACCUGUAUUAGAGCAGCAAGAUUUUUGAGACUGUGUUGCCAGACUCCUGCUGUCCAGGGUCUGGGCUCCCAUCCACUUGGGGAAGUUUCAUUUUUCUGCAGUUAGGCUUUGGUAGGCUGAGGAGGCAAAAACUGUUGUUGGUCUGCUCACAAGAAUCUGUUUCAUAGAUUUCAUACUGCAAGAGGUGAGCACCAAGCCUUCCAUAAGCUAUUCUAAGUGUAGGGAAGUGGUAGAGCUAAAAACCCACCAUGAUUGAAAAUUUUGGUUAUAAGCUGGCUAAUUUUAGUAAAAUUACCUGCUUUCCUUAUCCUUCAUCUUAGAAACAACAACUCUUCUAUUGUGGUUUCUUCCUUUCAAUAAAAAUGUCAGCCUGAGGCAGAGAAUGAACCAUGGAAAAGUUUAGCUCCAGUGACUGAAACUUAGGGAACUUGCUAGUAGGAGUAUUGCUUAUUGUGGAGCUUUAUUGGGGUAGAUACAGUAUGCCUGCAAAACAGUGAACUUGACAACUAGUCAGAUUUUUCAUAAGCAGUCCCACAGUUGCCUGCCUUCAAGACAAAUGUGAGCACAGGGAAGGUUUGGUCUGUCCAUGCAUGUAGUGUGGUAGCAGAGAUUUUUAGAAUCAUCAUGCUCUGUUUCACCAUGAUGUUACUAUGAUUAUUUUUCCUGGGGGAACAAACUUGUAGAUUCUGAUUACAUGCAGGUAUCCCAGAUGGUCAGAUUCAAAACAUCUGUUUCUAGUUGAACAUCGUUGGCUUUAGCUGGUGUGAUCCACAUCACUGAAUAUUUUUGUCUUCAGUACAACCAGCAUCCCAUGAACCCAUUUUUCCUGGGUUAAUUGGAAAAGCCAUUUUUCACAUUCUCUCUUUAAUAGAUGAAUCUUCAAAUAGGGGUUGUUAUAGGACAGUUUCAUGAAAAAGAGAGGACGUGAUUUUACAGCUAGCAGUUGUUGACUGCUAACUAGUUGCCAAGAAAAAAUGGAUGUUUGUAACACACCAAAGUUAAUUGCAUGCAUCAUGAAUGUAAAUGCCAUCGGUGGAACAGAUACUUUGCAUUUGGAAUAUUUUUGCAAGUCUGACCAGGAUGACAAAUUGCAUACAUUAAUAUUUCAAACUCACCUGAAUAACUUGAUAUUGUAUGGAGAAAGUGGAUGUUGCUGAUCAGUCUUGCUCUCCAGAGUUGCAUUUGCAUUCUGUAUUCUGUUUCUGGGCUGACAUAGUGCCUGUGUGAUCUGCCUGUGUGAGGUCAGUGCCCAAAACUGCAAGGGUUCUGGAUAGAGUACUCUUGUUUAAUUCAUACUAGCCAAAACUGUGCUGCCUGAAGUCCCUGGGAGAAACCCAGUCCUUAAUGAGCUCUGACACACACUAAUGCUUCAGUGAGUUCAUAGUAUUGAUAUCUUUUCAUGUAUUUUAGAAGGACACUGCAUGGCUGCCUUAUAGUUGCACCACCUACCCCUUUACACAGUGCAGUAUUGACAGUGUCUCAGUCCCAGCACACGACAUACUAGCGGCAUUGUGCUCACAUAGUCGUGGCUUGAGUUUUAUUUUUCAGUUUUUUCUUCAACUAAGAGUUUAUGUACCUUUUCUCACAUUCCUCUUUUUUUUCAGUAACCACAUUAUUUCACCAUCCAACAUACUAUCAAGAAUGUGGAACGUGUGGUGACACUUUAACAGUCUUGUUCUUUGUCACUGUCUAGUUUUAAGUGUAAUGAGUCCUUCUUAUUUAUUUGUUUAUUCACAUCGCAUGCUGGUUGCAGGAGUUGUAAUAUACAGGGCUUCCAGAUUUGUGUUGCUGUACUGUAUGCUACCCUUUUGCUAUGUUGUAUAAUUUGUAAUAUAGUGGUCUCAAAGGUUUGGUUAUGCAUUUUUGGCUUAUAACUUCUUUUUGUAGCUGUCUUUUCUUCAGUGUUCUCUUUAAAACAAUUAUCAGUGACUAUUCCUGGUGCUGUUAAAAUAGCCCAAUUCUGCAGGUAAAGGUGUGGGGAGGGUGCCCUAUACCUGUUGAAAUCUCUUGUCUUCUCUGGAAUGUGCUCAGAGAAUGGUGCUGCUGGCCUAUUUGGGGCUGUAUAAUUAGUUCCCAUGUUGCGGACAAUAUUUUAUUUCCCUCCACAGUGCCCAGCUACGAAACAGUGUGAUUUGUUCUGGGAUUAAAGUUUGAGUGCGUUGUUCAGAAUAUGGGAUUCUUGUUUGGAUACUUAACUCGGAGAUGGUUCAUUCUUGUUUCUUCAACAAAGACUUUUUAAAGGAAAAAGCAAGAAUGGCAUGAAUUGAUGGCCUGUGCCACACCAUGUCGCGGUGUGCAUUUUGGAAGCUGUACUGUUCAAAUUUUGAUGUUUCUUUUGUUCUGAACCUUUCCUUCUUGCUUGAAUUUUCACAGGUAAAUGCACCUUUCUUCUGCCUUUGUCUUGAGGUGCCAAAUGCAUGACCCAUGCAGUGACAAGGCACUGCACAUUUUUGGAAACCUCAAAACCCUUCACUUUUACGUGGUGAAUUGAGUUGGUGUAAAACUCGUGUGCCUCUGUCUGUGUUGCGUUGUUAUAGUACAUUUGGUAAUGUCAAGAGAAAAACACAGUAUUUUUUUUAGUGAAAAACAGCUCAAAUCACUUAACUUUGCAUAGGAAAGUGCAAAUAUACCCUGCUUUUCAUUUUUUACAAGAGCACUGAGGAGCACUUUGAGUUCUUGCUCAAGACAACACAAAUGAGCAAGGACAGGUAAAAUAUUAAGAUGUGGAAAUUCUAAUAAAUGUAGAGUUAGUAAUGUACAGCCUAGAUGUGUCCAGUCUGUGGGCCUGGGCAGCUAGUAAUGCAGCUCCAUGCAGCAAGAUCAUAAACUUUUAACAUUAUUAAGUUAUUUUAGAGAUAUUUUUCAUGAGUCAGUUGCACAUAGCUUUAGCGCAGGCUACAUAGGAGACAACGAUGCUGUGGAGGUGAGGGUGCAGUGCUGUGCCAACUCUGCCUCUUGCACCCACCACAGUGUAUUCAGUUGAAUCGAAACCUGUCUAUAUUACACAUUACGUGUGCUUGUUCUAGUUGACAAGUAAAAUGCUGUGAUUACCAGUAACUGUACUUCAGCUUACCUACAUGUGCAUGCAUGCAUGUGAAGACAUGGAUUUUUUGUUAUUAGACAGACACAUUAAGUUUUAUUACUUAAUUAUUAAACUUGGCUUUGUGUUAUUUUGUAAAAUAACAAGGUAACACAUUAAUUGCAGAAGAAAUAUCCAGAAUACUUGUGUAUGUCCUGGCUUUAGCUGAGGCAGUGUUAAGAGAACAUCAAUGUUUUCGUUGUUCUUGAGUGACUGGAGCACACCCAGGGCUGGGCUGCUUGGUGGAAGAGCUGCCACCAUUAUGGCAUGGCAUGGCAGGGGAUGGAGUGAAGUCAAGAUGGCUGGCUUGAAUUAGGAAAGCGUUUAGUGCAUACCACAUGAGACCAUGCAGAAAGCUGUAAAGCUGUGGGGAGUUGGCUGAGGGCAACUGCUGCAUGGAAAUUGCUUGGGUGUUGGUCAGGGGCUGGUGAGACACUGUGUUAAUAUCGGGCUGUUGGUCAGCAAACAGUUGUAUUCUUAGGUGGGUGCUGGUCAUCAAAUGGAAAGUAAUUGAAUUGUGGAUAUAUAGAGAGACAGAUAUAAUUGUUUUUAUUUCUGUUUUCUGUUUUAUAAAAUAGUUUGCAUCUCAACCCACAAAUUCUAUUUUGUUUUCACUUCUUUCCUUCAUCCCCCUUGAGGGAGGAAUGAAUAAACAUCUCUGUGGUGCUUAGUUGACUGCUGAGUUAAACCACAACAGCGUGGUGCUGACAAAUGUUGUAAUUUUCAAUGUCUUAAGCUCACAAUAAGUAUGAGUUAUUUUGUGAUAUAUUUUUAAUCAGUUUUGUGAUAGGUAUUUGAUCUGUGUUUCUGAUACUCUGACCACAUGAGGGCAGUUUGAGAAUAGGUUUCAAGAUUUCUGAAAAAUGUCAUCAAUAUUUUGUUAUGUUUGCAACACCAUUUUCAAUUGACUUAAAAACAUUACCUGAAAAUUUUUAGAUGGAAUGUAUAGAAUUGCAGUCAGGCAUUCAGCUCAAGGAAAAACUUGACCAUGUCUCUUUACCAGAUUUUUAUAAGCCCUAGGGAGUUUGUGGAUGCCCCAUCCCUGGAGGCAUUCAAGGCAAGGCUGGAUGUCGCUCUGGGCAGCCUGGUCUAGUGGUUGGCAACCCUGCCCACAGCAGGGGUGUUGAUCUUUGAGGUCCUUUUCAACACAGGCCGUUUUAUGAUUCUGUGAUUCUAUGAUUCUAUCUUACUAAAGAAAAAUAUCCCCUACUUCACAAUCAUACAUUAUUCUUAUUGUCAGUUUUUAGCAGUACGUACAUUUAUGAACAACCGUUCUGAAAGAUGAAGAACAGGAAGAGUAAAAUUUCAUCAAAAAUGUCUGAUGACCACCUUGAGAACUCAGUAAGAGCUACAACUGCUUCUCUUGAACCAUACAAUGAUGCAUUAGUUUCACAAAAACAAGGUCAAAUAUCCCACUAGCUUUAUGUUAUUGUUGCUCUCUUCUGUAUGUUUUAAUAAAAAAAUAUGAAAAAAUACAAUA